UACGAAGGGUGCUAGCGUUGUUCGGAAUUACUGGGCGUAAAGGGCUCGUAGGUGGCCAACUAAGUCAUACGUGAAAUCCCUCAGCUUAACUGGGGAACUGCGCCUGAUACUGGUUGGCUUGAGUUUGGGAGAGGGACGCGGAAUUCCAGGUGUAGCGGUGAAAUGCGUAGAUAUCUGGAGGAACACCGGUGGCGAAGGCGGCGUCCUGGACCAAUACUGACACUGAGGAGCGAAAGCCAGGGGAGCAAACGGG
rnacentral:rRNA from 1 species